rnacentral:lncRNA from 1 species
ACAAGAUAUAUGUUAAUAUUAGUCCGAACAAAUAUUUGCACCCUAUCUAGGGCCAAUCUUAAUUUUUUCAAGGCCCUCUGAAUAUUAGUCAAGGAUUACCCUAUAUAGUUAUGAGUUAAAUGUGAAAAAAUUUGAAUUUUGUACGGCAGACUGUCUUGCAUGCUCUCAAAGACGAUUCUAACCUCUUAAUAAAGGAGAGUAUCACAUCAAAGUCGGGAUAAUUUCCAAUUUCGAGUAGUUUCGAAAUUUGUUGUCAUGCCUACAUCCAAAUCAAUGGAUAUACAUCCCUAAUUCUAGUCCACAAAUCAAAUCCAGUUAAUUCUAGUCCACUCUAAAAGGAUAGGGAAUUUGCCCCCACCAUCCAUAGCUGGCUUGAGCUUCCAAAGCAAUCAUGCACUCUAAUUAAAAGACAUAGUUACCCUUACUUUAACAACAAUUCAGGUAUACAAAACUGGCUACGUGUGUGGUCCAAAAUUUGAACUUGGUUAAAUAGAAUCUCAUAGAAUUUGUCAUAAUUAAGCUGUAAUUAAAUAAGAUUUUUAUUUAUUGUGACAGGGUUAAACUACCAUUAUUCUACACGGGGCCUACAAAAUCUGCCAACAAAAACUUACAUAAAUCAAUGCUAAAAAUAAAGAGUUUCAAAGCAUAUAUAUAUAUAUAUAUAUAUAUAUAUAUAUGAUGAAGGAGCAAAGAGUAAUUGUACCUAGUAUAAGGUAAGGGGCAAAAUAUGAUCAUAUAGUUAGCGGAGGCACACGUGAAUGUGCUNCCGAAGAGAGAUUCCGGUGGACGGUGGGUCUGCGUUCCACUUACAGUGUUCCUGGAUGGGAAUCUGUGUUUGAACUCAGAUUUUUCGGAGUAACGGAAGGCUGGUGUUCUCGGUGGCCGGUUUUCGCGGUGUCAAGAAGUUUGCCAGUUUCUUUCUUCUAGCUUCUCUGGCUUUGCCCGCAAGUUCUCUCUGGUUCAAUGCGUCAAAAUGGAAAAAUCAGCUGAGGCUUACCCGCAUAAAAACAAGUUAUGACAAGGAUUGUUAGAUAAUUGAAUAAACAAAAUUGUCCACAGAUAAAAUUUUGGUUGGCAGAGCAACCAAAAUUUCGAUAGAAUAAAAUUAAAAUAUGUAGUUUGCAAUUCCGGCAAGCGCCAAAAAACUUUGAUCGGAACAAAUAGCAAGUGUUACAUUUUCACCGAUGUAGUAAUAGCGGAGUUUUAUUCCCAAGUUAUCGAAUCUCGAGGAUUGCUAGGAAUUACUUAUUUCAAUUCGAUUCUUAUUCAAACAAAUAAGAUAAUAUGGUUGGUUUGUUUGGAAUUGCGGAAGAGUGACACGAAAGAUAGUAAAAAAAACUGAAUUAAGAUAAAAGAUGCUCAGGGUAAGCUGGUUGAGUUAGCCCGUUAUGAAUUUAUCCCGAUUCCUUAAUGCCUAUGAUAACAUUCAAGUCACCUACACCUCAGAAUGUUCUUUACUUAAGCGCUUAAGUGAGAAACUAUUUAAACUACCAAUUCUUACUCAAAAAUGUCCAUUUCAAUUAAAUCAUUGGUUUUUAAUCAUACAAUAUAUCAACGGUUUACGUAAUUUAUGAAAAGUUAACUAGUCCUAGAUGAUGCAUUCAUAAACCCAAUUGUGUGAAAACCCUACCAAAAUCACAGUCCUGUAGUUGGAAAAGUCAUAGAUUAAUUUGUAUUUGUCCCGAUACAAAAGCAUAAUAACAUCACACAAUUAAAUUGAAAACGACAUAAACAUAGUAAUCAAGGAAUCAUUGGUUCACAUUCAUAACAUACGAUAACAUCAAGGACCACCUUAGCAUCAGGGGGUUUAGCCUCUCAUAGUACUUAAAGAAUUCAUAAAGUAAAAUUAGACAUUACAAAGAAUUAGGAGAAUUUGAUCUUCAAUGGUGGCUACCGUUGAAUCUCGCCGUCUUCGAAUCCGUGUAUUCGCUAUCUCUCCACUGUAAUGCUUUCGUUCGUCUGUCCAAAGGUCCCUUUCUUCUCUCUUCCAAGCCUUCUUAUGUUUCAUAUGCCUCCUCCUCUAAGCAAAAGGUCCAUACUGCCCUUAUGAUCCAGAAUCGGUUCACAAGGAAAAAUUAGGUUUCCCAAGCUGCGUGCAAUCAACACGGCCGUGUGGUACACACGGGCGCCCGUGUUUUUUCUCCUGCAUUAAUAAUUUCAGCAUUUGUUACAGUAGCAAACAACACGGCCGUGUCCUACACAGCGGGUGCCCGUGUAGAUGCACUGUUUAUAUCAACACGGCCAGUGUGUGUACACACGGGUGCCCGUGUUGAUCCCUGUUUUCUGCUUCAUCUUUUUCUCUGCUUGACCAACAACACGGCCGUGUGGUGCAGCACGGUGGCCGUGUUGACCUGCUGUUCUGUCAUAUUUUCGUCCUUCAGAGUGUCCCGAACUUCACCAUUUCUUGCUUUUUAAACCUGGAACAAUGACACUACCCAAACGAAGCAUAAACAAGGUCUUUUUGACUUAAACUCGUAAUCGAUGUAAUGUAAUACCAAACCAACAAAACUUGAUACUUGACUCAAAUGCAACUAAAAACAAACAUAAAUCUUACCAGAGUGAUGAAAAUACGUCGGAUUAACGGCGGGAAUUCAUGGAAAUGGUGACCGAUCAGCAAGCUACUAUGAACUGAAUGGUGUUUUGCAAGUGUGGGUGGGGCAAUGAUGGAAAAGUAUAAUAGAUAUUGGGGGUGUGCUACUAGAGAUGAACAAGUUGAUUUAUUUUGGAAUCAUUUUGGAUCCAAGAUACAAGUUGAGUUAUAUUGAGUGGACUUUUAAGGAUAUGUAUGGAGUCGGAUCUGUGUUUGCUACCCGGGUUGAUCAAAUCUAUAAAGAGAGCUUACAAAAAUUGUAUGAUUGGUAUAAGCAAGCUUAUGACCAAAAUCAUAAUAGAUAACCUCUUGUAUGGUGAAAACAAUGUUUCCAAUGAUGAAACAACAGCUGGCCGUCCUUCACUAAUGGUAGAGCCGAUGCUUUUAAGCAACAUUUAGAGGAACAAGACUCGAUUGAUCAACAAAAUGAGCUUGAGGGUUUUUACUCUAGUAAGUGUGUCAAAAGGGAUCCUAAUUUGACCUUCUUGUGUGGUGGAAAACACAAUUCAACACAAUAAUCCUAUUUUAUCUACAAUAGCUAAAGAUAUUUUUGCCACACAGUGUCUACGGUGCAUCAGAAAGUGCCUUUAGUACGGGAGGGAGAGUCUUAGAAACUUAUAGGAGCUCCCUAAAACCUGAAAUGGCAGAGGCAUUAAUUUGCACCCAGAAUUGGUUAAAGCCGUCUUUUACCUAUUUCAAAGACUGAACUCAUGGAAGAUUUUGAGCUUUCUGAGAUAUUAUAGCAAGUAAAAUUAUUUUUAAAAAUGUUAUAUCUUUUUCAUAAUUGUUAUAUAUUUCUAAAAAAAUGUUUAUUUCAUUUUUUAGAAUUUGAAGAAAUUUCUUCUAUAGCAAGAAGAGGAUCUUUACCGUCUCAGCCACAACCUUCUGGUUGUGCUUGAAAAAAUAUGGAGGUAUAUUUACUUUAUUAAUUUGAUUUAUUUAUUACUUUAUUCCUUUUUAAAGCUUAAUAUUUUCUUGUUUAAUUUUUCAGUUCACUAUGUUUUUUGAAGUCAUAUGUGACUUAUAUUUUGUGACUACUCCAAUGGUCAAAUAAUAUAUAUUUUGUCCUGUGGAUUUUGAAGAUAUUCAAGCUAGCCAAAUUUUGGUAUGCAUCAAACAAUAUAUUAUUGUAUUAAUUAUCUAUGUGGUUUUUUAGUUGGAUUUACUACUAAUUAAUUAUGAAUUGAAGUUGGUAAUGUCAUGGUCGGUUGUCCAUUAGUUAAUGAAGUAUUGCUAAUUGUGUAAAUAGAACAUUUUGAGGCCAUGCAGGAACAAUUUGGAGCUAAGACAUUUUUGAUAUAUGUAGAACCUGUGUUUAGCAAAACAGGAAGAAACAAUUGGAGUAAACUAUAUGGGAAUGGAAUAACAGAUCAGGUAAAAAAUUGUUGUUUUGGUUUUUGAAAGUACUUAAUUAAGAUCUUGUUCUUCUUGUGAAGAGAAUAUUCAUAAUUUGAAAAAACGCAGGUGAGAAAAAAGAGAAAGAAUGGCUAGCCAAGGGAAGAAAUUGCAGUUCAGAAAGCUAAGGAAACAGAACUUAAAUAAACCAUUCACAUUCCAGGUUCGCUUAGUCAUUCACGCCAAAUCUUUUUUUUUGGUUCUUAAUGCUGUUGAAGGGUGCUUAAUUCUCUUUGGUUGCUGCACAUUUGUUUACUCAUUCUGGAAUAUGUCGUAGAAAUAAUAUUAUGGAAUUGCUUUGUUUUUGUUCUGUCAUAUCUAUGAGCCUCUUUUGCUUUCACUCAAGUCGUAUCUCACUAGAUGGGUUGAGCUACAUGGAUCUAAUGCCACCAUUAGGCUGUAUAAAAAACCAAUAAAUUCAUGUGUUGGUUUCUCGUAUAGUUUUCUUUGGUAUAAACAUGCACCAAAGAUAACACAUUCAGACCAGUCUAUUUGUGUUGGCAUAAAAAAACUGGCAUAUUGAACGUAAACUUUACGGAUACUGCUGUCAUUCUGGAAUCUUAGAUGAUUACAGCAUGUUUUGUUUUUCAUCAUGUGCAUGGUACUCUGAACAUUCUAUGAGUUACAUGUUCUGGCUUAUCUUUUUGGGGUAUUUCUCCAUUACAGGUUUGGCUCGAAUUGGAUCAAGACUGUCCGAGACUGAAGUGAAGCAACUUAUGGAGUUGUAAGUCGUUACAAAUCCGUUACAAAAGCAUAACUAGUUGAACGCAUGACUAUUAUCUUAAACUCAACAAGAAUUGUCUUACUUGUGAGUGAAAUAUGUUGCUUUCUAAUGGAGAAGACCAGACUCAGCUGCUGCCUUCAGAAACUGAAACUCAGGUUUGAAACUCUGAUUCAGUUGAAGGGUUAUUACCGGUUUCAAAAGUUUACACUGAUGUGGCUGUUGUUCCUGAGCAACAAAACAACGAGAUUCAACACUUGAUAUCCAAUUUACAAAGUAUAGAUAAUUAGAAAUCUUUUUUUCCUUUUUUGGUUUUUGUUGAAUUAAAUAUGUGAAAGUGAAAUAAAUGUUGCUGAUUUUGUUUUGUUUUAUCCAGGAGAGGUUGAGGAACUGAGGCUGAAGCAGAGAGUAGUGGAUGGAAAGAGGAGACAAGCAUUGAGUAAGAUAUUGGAUAUCAAAGGUAGAGUCUUAAUUAGGGUUUUCUAUUAUAAUGUUAAUAUGUUAUUUUUAUUAGAGGGUUGAAAAUUUUCAUUUUGUUAUUCAGGGAGCAUUAAGUGUUUUGUAGGAUUCGACCGAAUCUUUCGAAAGAGAAGAGAAAAUUAUGAACCUGUAUCAGCUGAAUCAGAGAGAGUUCGAGUUAAGUUUGGUGGGACAAGAAAGAGUUUGCGUUUGAUAAGGUUUUUCAUCAAGAUACAACUCAAGGUUAGUACUCUAUAAAUUCCAUUUUGUUGUGUUACUAAUUUUAAUUAUUUGAUAUUUGUACAAAUUUUACUGUGUUACCAUUGUAUGAACAUCUGUAGAAAGUGUUUUUGUUGAAGUGGAGCCAAUUCUAAGAUCUGCAAUGGACGGGCACAAUGUGUGCGUUUUCGCUUAUGGUUAAACCGCCACACAGGCAAGACAUUCACCAUGGUCAGUGAUGUCAAAAUUGUGUUCAUCUGCUAAUUAAUGUUAUCCAAUGUAUGUUUGUGGUUUCUGAUUGUAUAUGAUUAAUUUUAGGAUGGUACAAAUGAGCAGUUAGGAUUAUUCCUCGAGCUAUUGAAGAACUCUUUCGUCAAGCGUCAAUGGAUGCUUCGUCCUCUUUUACUUUUUCAAUGAGACAUCUGAAUGAACCAACCAUGUGCAGAUGUAAUAUGGACAGUCAACUGUUUGAUAUACUUUCAAAAGUUCUCUUGUUUCUCAUGUAUUUUGAGUUUUUGUAUAUUAUUAAUUUCUUUUUAAGGUCUGUGUGGAAGUAGCAUAACAGUUGUUAUUUUGGAUUGAAGUUUUGUAUACUUUUGAAUUUAUUUUGAAUCUAAAUUGUAGUAAUUUGUAGCUCAAAAUAUUAUCAAAAUGUAUUAUUGGGCUCAAAAUAAUAUCAACCCAAUAAAACCGAUUAAACCGAUUGCAUAACCCGCAACCCGUCCAAACCGAUAACAAAAAUGGGCGAAAAUGGGCUUAUAUGGCUUAACCGUGGGUUGGAUGGGUGAGGCUUUUGGGUCGAAACCGCCCAAUCCGACCCGUUAUCCCGCCCUAAAUGAAGUUAUUCAAAUAGCCAUUACUUAAAAUAAAUUUUCAGAGGAAGUAAGGACAAAAAUCAUAUUUAUUAUAUUUACGAUGAUAAGAAAACAUUUAACCCAAAAUUAAAAUAUUAAUUCGAUAAAGUAAAAUAAUAAGAAAAAGGAAAGUAAAUGAUUUAUUGGAGCAGCCAGCAACAGCAACCGUGAAGAGAGUCAGCAAUAAUCUACGAACAAAGAAAAAAACUAACAAACAGGAAGCAAAAGAAGAAAGAAAGAAGUGCCAGAAAAAGAAAAGCAAAUCAAAAGAAGAAGCUAACACCACUCGUCCAUCUUCCAUAGAAAGUGAAAUUAUUUGGUGUUUUGUGAAUCAAUCUUUCAUCAAAGUUUUGUUUCUUUAGUUAUCCUCCUCCUCCUCCACAUGGGUCGCUUAUUUUCUUCUCAUCAUUCUAACCUUCUUUACAUUAUCUUUCCUCUCAGGUAAACUUCACAAACUCUCUAUUUUAUUUUCAAAAUUUGCACUUUAGUCUCUAAAUUUUAACUAUUUUCCAUUUUGGUCCUUCACUCUUUCAGAGGUAAAGUCAACAUCGUUCAAGAUUGUAAACAAGUGCCGUCACACAAUAUGGCCAGGAUUACUCUCAGGCGCCACCUCGCCGCCGCUACCACUACCGGAUUCACCCUCAAGAGCGGAGAGUCAAGGACUGUCAACAUCCGAAAUCUUGGUCGGGUCGGUUAUGGGCACGGACUCUCUGCGGCCGUGGCUCCGACGGGAAAUUCUCGUGUGUCACCGCUGACUGUGGCUCUGGUAAAGUAGAGUGGCUGGCGGUGGGCUAAGCCGCCGGCAUCUUGGCGGAGUUCACUUGAACGGAGCCGACGGGUUGGAUUUCUACGACGUAAGUUUGGUCGACGGUUAUAAUCUUCCGAUGCUGGUUGUGGCUAAAGGCGGACUAAGGGAGGAUGCAGCCCCACCGGAUGUCUUGUUGAUCUUAACGGAGGUUGCCCGGGGAUCUUAAGGUGGCGCGUGGUGAUGGAAGUGGCGAUAACGUUGCGUGUAGAAGCGCGUGUGAAGCUUUUGCGGAUCCUCGUUAUUGUUGUAGUGAGGCGUACUCUACGCCUGACACGUGUGCUCCUUCUGUAUACUCGCAGUUUUUUAAGCAUGCAUGCCCACGCUCAUAUAGCUACGCGUUGAUGAUAGACUAGCACAUUCACGUGUGCCUCCGCUUCAAAGCAUAUAUAUAUAUAUAUAUAUAUAUAUAUAUAUGAUGAAGGAGCAAAGAGUAAUUGUACCUAGUAUAAGGUAAGGGGCAAAAUAUGAUCAUAUAGUUAGCGGAGGCACACGUGAAUGUGCUAGUCUUAUCAUCAUACGCGUAGCUAUAUGAGCGUGGGCAUGCAUGCUUAAAAAACUG